rnacentral:sRNA from 1 species
AGAGCGUGCCUUUCAGGCAUCCUCUCCUAAAAACUUACACAGGCCGGCUUGUCCGGCCUUUUUUUUUGCCCGAC